rnacentral:rRNA from 1 species
GGACGAACGCUGGCGGCGUGCCUAACACAUGCAAGUCGAACGGAACUCUUUGGAUCAAGGCUUCGGCCAAGUGAAUUUGAGUUAGCGGCGGACGGGUGAGUAACGCGUGAGCAACCUGCCUCUUACUGGGGGAUAACGCAUCGAAAGAUGUGCUAAUACCGCGUAAGACCACGGAGCCGCAUGGCUCAGGGGUCAAAGGAGCAAUCCGGUAAGAGAUGGGCUCGCGUCCGAUUAGCUAGUUGGUGAGAUAACGGCCCACCAAGGCGACGAUCGGUAGCCGACCUGAGAGGGUGAUCGGCCACAUUGGAACUGAGAUACGGUCCAGACUCCUACGGGAGGCAGCAGUGGGGAAUAUUGGGCAAUGGGCGAAAGCCUGACCCAGCAACGCCGCGUGAGGGAAGAAGGGUUUCGGCUCGUAAACCUCUGUCCUAUGGGACGAAGAAGUGACGGUACCAUAGGAGGAAGCCCCGGCUAACUACGUG